ensembl:lncRNA
GUGCAUUUCACUUAAAAGGGAACCGGACAGUACAUUUGUUUGUGUACUGUUUAGCGGAAACAUCUCUUCCAGUUUCACAGGUUAAAGACUUUUUGAAGUAAAGAGGAGCAUCUCAUCUGAACCUGAUGUGAAUAGAAUUGUGUGGCAAAGCACAACUGACGUGACUUGUCUAUCAUGGAUAUUUAACUGCAGUUCUGCGAGUAUCCCAACUUAACCAUGAAGCAUAUCUGCAAACUCUCUCUCACAUUACUCUCAAACCGUGCCUACUAGUGAUGGGAAUUUCGGCUCCUUUUAGUGAGCCGGAUCAUUUGGAUAAGCUCACCAACAAGAGCAGGCUCGUUCGGCUCCCAAACGGCUCUUCAUAUUACCACCUAUACCUUUUAUAAUUCAGCCAAAUGUAGCCCGUUUUGACUUAUGAUUUGUAUGUGUAGGGCAGGCCUAUAUGUCACUUAAAUGAUUCAAUGCAUCCUAUUAUUAUUCAAAAGUAAAAAUUACAUUUUCUAAUAUCAAUAAAUUGCUGUAGCUGAUUGUUUUCAUUGCAUUUGAGCGCAUCGUGCAUUCCCGUCCCUCACUGCUUGCUUAUGGGUAUGAUCCUUGUCUAUCCCCACUUUAUUGGUUGCAUGCAUGCGCGUGACAGUCAGGCACUGCACAUACGCAUAGCAUGCACGGAGCCCUGUAGCGCGGAGAUCUUCAUAUAAUUCUGCCUAGGCAAACUUUAUAUAUAAAUAAAAGAAAAGAAACGGCUCGCGGUCGGGAGCCGACUCCCAUCGUUCACUUAAAAGAACCGGCUCUUUGAACCGGCUUGUUUGUGACCGACCCAUCACUAGUGCCUACAGCGAUUUAUCUACUAGUUUAAAGUCGACACCAGGAUAUACCACAAGGUGUCAUUUUCCCCCUGUGAAAUAAAUACAUACAAAAUACAUAAAUACUAACCUGCUAAUUAAUUCCCUGUUAAAUCAUGUUGGUUGUGUGUUUUUCCAGCACUGAGACCACCUAUCACUCCAACAUUCACUGUGUUCUGUGUCCUGCAUUGCCUAGCAACCAUUCUCAACCCCAUGAAGCGCAUAACAGAAACCCAUUGACGCAUGAUCACUGCCAGUCCCGUAAGAGAGAUUCAAGAGAAUUAAAAGUAUCUCAAUCUUAUUUAUCAGGGAGAGAUGUAUUAUACUGCAACCUAAAUGGUGUGUUUUUGUGCCAGUGAGACAAAGUUAAUGAACAAACUUGGUUCAAGUGAAAAUAUUUCACGUAAUCAACACCAUGAUUACAAUGCUUCCCCAUGACGCAUCCUAAACCAGAAGCAAAAAGAAAAAAUAAUUCUGGCCUUCUUGCUAAAUUUCAAUAACCAGUUCCUAAUCCCCUUUUUUUGUAAAGCACUUGUAAUAAUUACAAUAUGAAUAUAAUAGAUACUAUGAUUAUUCUUAUAGGAGAUUACAGAGUAAAGGUCAAUUAUACAAUUUUAUCCCAAUUAUCUAAU